AAAAAAACUUUCAAAACCCCCAUCUCUCUCAAACCCCCACCCCUUUUCGGCCUAAGGGUUUCGGCCGUUGGCCAUCAUCGACCCCGCCGUGGGCGAUGGUCGGAGGCACCCGACAAUCGGGUUUUUAAACCCCGUUCGAAACACGCGCAAAAGCCCACCCUUCUUGGCCGGAAGGUCGAAGGAAAAAGGUUCCCCCACGCACUCUCUCGGUCUGAUUUCGGCGACCAAAAGGGGUCUCCGACGACGGGAUUCGCAGGGCGAUUCCAGGUACUUUCUUUUUCCUUCCGUUUUUAAUCGCUUUCGUUUACAUAUACAGAGAAGAAAAAUAGAAAAAUGAAAAAAAAAUAGAUAUCUAAAACAAAAAAAAUCACCUUAAGUGCUUUUUUGCUUUUUAUUUUCUGAAAUGUUCGUAAAAAAGGGGAACCCCAAGUUCAGUGAUGAGAUUCGGCUUUUAUAUCCCAUUUCAAUCUCUUUCAUUUCCAUUUUUAUAUUGUUUUUUCUACAUUAUUUUUUUAUGUUUUUCUUUAUUGUUGCGUGCUAUUCUUCGUUUUGCAGGUGAUUGAUGGCGCAAUUGGGGCGGCGACGUGGCCGUGGCCGUGGCAGUGGCAGACGCGCGGCUGUGGCGCGACGUGACCUAGGAUUAUGGUUACUGCCUCUUUUUUUGAAAAUGGGCAUUGGGCUUUUGGGAUUUGGGUUUAAUUGGGCUUGAUAUGUAAUGGGUCAUGGAUUGUUGAUAUGUUUAUUUGUUUGCAUGCAUUGGGCCUGGGCUGAAUUGGCCUACAACAUAUGCAAUAACAUUUAAACCCAAAACACCUUAAUACCCACUGUCUCUAUUUUAUCAAUUCAACCAAAGCCCUGCUUAAUUUGUUUAACCAAAAUCCUAUUUAAUUUGUAUUUUCUCCGAAUAAUGAAUGUGCAAUCUAAUCUACAAUUUAUAUAAAAGCAUUAAUUUGGAAAAAUUAUUGAACUAAUGAGAAUAUCUUUUAUUUUCUAUCAUAUUAUUAAAUUGGUA
rnacentral:lncRNA from 1 species